CAGAAUUGCCAAAUGCCUGUGGCAAGAGGCUGGUGCCUGUGAUUUCCUGUCCCUCUUGCAUGGGGGACUGAGCAUAGGAGCCCCUCCCACUCUGAAGAACAAAUGCCCGGAGACAUCCUAAUGUCUUCAGUUUCGGGAUAGAAGUGGUUGUACCUUUGCCAGAAGAUAUUACAACUGACCUUUCCAAGCAGCCACAUGCUGAGCCAAGUGACCUGUUCUCCUGUACUGGCUGCACCUCUGCUUCCUGGUCACACUCCUCCUCACUUCUCCUGGAUUUGUGGAUUUUCUCUUCAGCUUACAGGAGAUCUGAGGAGGAGUGUGACACGAAGCAGAGGGUUACUGGGGGAGGACACAGGGCACUUAGCUCAGCAAGUGACUGCUUAGAAAGGUCAGUCCUAACGUGUCCUGGCAAAGCUACAACCACUUCUGUCCAGAAACUGAUGACAUAUGGAUGUCUCCCGG
rnacentral:lncRNA from 1 species